UGAGUAACACGUAAGUAAUCUACCUUCGAGUGGGGAAUAACGUCCGGAAACGGACGCUAAUACCGCAUAAUGCAGCGGCACCUAAUGGUGACAGUUGUUAAAGAAUUUAUUCGCUUGAAGAGGAGCUUGCGGCAGAUUAGCUAGUUGGUAAGGUAAUGGCUUACCAAGGCUACGAUCUGUAACCGGUCUUAGAGGACGGUCGGUCACACUGACACUGAAUAACGGGUCAG
rnacentral:rRNA from 1 species